AUGGUCGUUGCUAUCGUAGGUGUUGGUGGGAUUGGCAAGACCACCCUCGCCCAGAAGGUCUUCAAUGACGAGGCCGUCCAAGGCGACUUCAGCAAAAAGAUAUGGUUGAGCGUCAACCAGAACUUUAGUGAGGUUGAGCUGCUGAGAAGAGCCAUCAUCGAACUCAGAGGAGGCUCUCAGCCAGUUGGAAAUGCGAAGGCCACGCUUCAACGAACCCUCAAGGAAGCCUUGAUUGGCCACAAGACCUUCUUGAUAAUGGAUGAUGUUUGGAACUAUAGAUCAUGGGAGGAUGUGCUCAAAACGCCGUUAGUCAAUGCUGCUGCUCCAGGCAGCUACGUCCUCAUCACCACUAGAGAUGAAGGUGUAGCCCGAGGGGUGUCAGCUAUAUGGCCAUACCACCACGUUGACACAUUAGCACCUGACGAUGCUUGGUUAUUGCUCAAGACGCAGGUACUCUCAAGUGAGAUAAAUGAAGACCACAUAAAUACGCUAAAGCAUACUGGGCUCAAAAUUAUACAAAAAUGUGGUUAUUUACCACUUGUUGUCAAAAUAAUGGGAGGACUCUUGCGUGAAAGAGGCAGGCUACGUCGCGACUGGCAGCCUGUUCUGGAUGAUUCGAAAUGGUCAAGAACUAAAAUGCCUGAUGAGCUUAACUAUGCAGUAUACUUCAGCUAUGAAUAUAUGCCCUCUUACCUCAAGCAGUGCUUUCUGUACUACUCUCUUCUUCCUAAAAGUAGAAAGUUUAGUAUGGGUGCAGUUGUUGCAAUGUGGAUUAGUGAAGGAUUUAUUCAUGGAAAUUCAAAUGAUUUAGAAGGAUUGGGAGAAAAUUACUACAAGGAGUUGGUAUCUAGGAACCUGAUAGAGCCAGAUAAAUUGUAUGCUGAUCUAUGGGUUUGCAGCAUGCAUGAUGUUGUUCGCUCUUUUGCUCAGUAUCUCACUAAGGAUGAAGCACUCGUAGCUCAAGACGGGGAUGAUGAUAUUCUUGCUAAACUUGGUUCACAAAAGUUUCUUCGAUUGUCCAUAGAAAUUAACCGAUCACAAUCAGGUGAACUUGAUUGGAAAUCUCUACAGGCGCAGCAAUUAGUGAGAACAUUGAUCUCAAUUGUCCAGAUUAAGAUGAAGCCUGGUGAUUCAUUGGUUUCCUUUUCUAGUUUGCGGACUUUGCAUAUAGAAUCUGCAGAUAUGACUGUAUUGCUUGAAUCGUCGCAUCAACUCAAGCACCUGAGGUAUCUUGCACUAGUAAAUGAUGAUAUAUCUGUACUUUCGGGCAACAUUGGCAAGAUGAAAUUGUUGCAGUUCCUUGAUCUUUUGGGAUGUACAGAAUUGGUGAAUCCUCCUGAUAGCAUUGUGAAGCUUGGCCAGUUGAGGUUACUUUCAUUUCCCAAAGGAUGUAUGGUACCUAGAGGGUUUAGUGGUCUGACAAACAUGAGGAGACUACGUAUGUUUCGAGCCCACAUGGAUGGUGAUUGGCGCAGUUUGGAUGAGUUGGGGCCUCUUUCCCAACUCAGGUUUCUUGAAUUAGUUCAAUUGGAGAAUGUAUCUGCUGCUUCAUUUGCAGCUAAUGCUAGGCUCGGCGAGAAGACGCAUCUUAUCACGCUAACCCUGGUCUGCACCAGUAAACUGGGAGAUGAUGGGUUUGUCAAAGAGAAGGAAGAUGUCUCUGAGGAAGAGCAGCAACGAAUUGAGAAGACAACUUCCCAACGGGUUGUGCCAGCCCCCAAAUCUGUAGCUCCUACAGGUCUUUCGUGCUCCAUGCAUCAAACAUGUUGGGACUGGAUUCGUGCAGUCAACAACAGCUUCAUUUCCAAGGUUAAAUGUAUUGAAGUUGUUCAAGAUGCUGGAUCCUCUCUUGGUGUGAACGAGUCAACUGUAUCACUGUUAACUCACGUGUUUGUUGAGGCCAUGUGGGACCGAGCAAUGCACCACUGCAGCUGGCCUCGCUCCACUAAGAUGGAGAAGAUCAAGCACAAGUUUGACAAGAUGCACGGCCUGCCAAACUGUUGUGGUGUUGUACAUACAGCUCACAUCACGUUUGGAUCACAAAACCCUGACCAUGAGGAGAAUGACGUUGUUCUAGUGCAAGUCGUUAUUGAUCUAGAUAUGAGGAUGACAGAGUUUUGGUUGGAUGGUGAUCUCUUGGAGUGCAUUGAGAAAUAUGCUUGGCUGAAUGGCGGUAAGGUGAAGUUAUCAGAUGGCCCGGAGGUUGGGGAAUACAUCAUUGGUGAUGCAGGAUACCCUCUUCGUCCAUGGCUCCUCACACCUUACAAGUUAGAAAAUGGUCUCCCACUCUCAGAGUCCAAAGUCGAGUUUAACAUGAGACACUCUGCAGCUACAGCCGUCGCGGCGAGGGUGUUGACAAGGUUGAAAGACACAUGA
rnacentral:rRNA from 1 species